UACAGAGGUGGCAAGCGUUGUUCGGAAUUACUGGGCGUAAAGGGCGCGUAGGCGGUUCGUUAAGUCCUGUGUGAAAUCCCCCGGCUCAACUGGGAGAGGUCCUUGGAUACUGGCAGACUUGAGGGAGGUAGAGGAGAGUGGAAUUCCCGGUGUAGUGGUGAUAUGCGUAGAUAUCGGGAGGAACACCAGUGGCGAAGGCGGCUCUCUGGGCCUUUCCUGACGCUGAGACGCGAAAGCGUGGGGAGCAAACAGG
rnacentral:rRNA from 1 species